GGCCCCAUAGCUCAGGGGAUAGAGCAGAGGUUUCCUAAACCUUGUGUCGGAGGUUCGAAUCCUCCUGGGGCCGCCA
rnacentral:tRNA from 1 species